UUGUAAUGAAGGCAGUUGUCCACCAGACUGAGGACACAGCUGGUAGGUUAUAACAUAGCAUAGCACAAACAAGGAGAAGUAAGAUGCAGGGCCAAGAAGAACAAAGACCAAAGUGGAGAAGUGUAGAUGUGCAGAAAUGACACUGUGUAGGAACUUUGUAAGGAAGGAAGGGAUGCCUAAAUGACAAGUGACACUCCUUUGGGACCUUCACCAGACCCUUCAUAUCAUUACCAGUAAGGUGCGUCUACAGGAACCCAGGACACUUGUACAUUCCUACAACAUCAGUAUCUUCAAGAAAUCUCUAUUCUGACAAAAUUCUGCACGUGGCCUUAACAAUUUGAUAAAAGUUAUUGCUGAGUCCUUGCCAGUGUCUGACAGCAUUGUCCCAGACUUUGCAUGAGGUGAUGUAAAAGUCAA
rnacentral:lncRNA from 1 species